AAGUACAUUUGAAAAAGGAGGUCAACAGUCCACAAGAAUUAAUUGCUUGACGCAACCGAGCAAGAUUAGAGAUUGUUAAAAGAAUGAAGGCGCAUUACUGACUUGUGAAGGAGUGGCAACAGCAGAGAAUCAGUGCACAAUCGUAACAGAUGUUAUCACAGAUGUGCUCACAUCUAAAUGUUUGACAGGAUGCCACACUGUGAGAGGUGACAUCUUCUGGAUGAUGUGUUAAACCAAGGUCCUGUCUGUCCUCUUUUGCAGAGGAAUGGGGGCCUUUCUCUGAUACCCAGUCAAUAUUUAUCCCUCAGUUAGUACAUCAAAUAUAUGAUCUGGUCAGUUACUUUCAUUAAUAGGCCAGAAUUAGUCUCCUCUCUGAACUAAACAUCCUCAAUCACUCAGCUCUGUAGAAUUGACUGGAUUUUGGAAGGUUAAUGAUGACCAGAGAUGGAUUAAAUUUUCAAUUGAAAAGCCAUACAGAUGGUCAUUGCCCAUUGCAGGACUGGCAAAAAGGAGAGUGCUGCAUGUUUGGAACCAAAAGAGAACUAACAACAGUGGUCUUAAAUGGUGUUUAGAGAAAGCAUCAUUAGCAUUUGAAACUAGCUACAGGGACACAGAUUUUCUUCUCUGUGUCUGAUUUCGAUUAGAGCCCUGGCUGUUUGAGUGAAAGUUUUCUCUCUCUAUUGACUAUGGGCAUGGGCAACACCCAGAUCCUGUAGUUAUGUGUCAACCAACCUACCUUGUAAUCAGGAAGCAAUUACCUCAAGCUGUAGCAGUGCUUAGGGGGAGGUUCAGAACAUUACCUGCUGUAGGAAAAGGCAAAAUUGGUGUGAGACAGAAGGCGCAUCAUUCCGAGGUUAGGUUUAAAAGCCACACUUCAAUUUUUAUACCUGCUCCAGGAGUGUUUAAU